ACCAAUGUUUUAAGCGCCUUUGUGAUUCCCUUCUCUGUUGUCUCCUUUAAUUAGUUCUCUUUUAAUUUCUAUUACUUUUUGGGGUGGAUUCUGCUUUUCUUACAGCAACAGCAGUUCUGUUCAAUUAAAGGUUUAUCUCACCAGUAGCUGAGCAAAACUUGUGGGGUUUGUACCUUUAUGUACAAAUAGGAGUCCUCAGUACUACAGCAGCAGAAUAGCAAGUGUUUUGGAUACUUUAGCUUUGAAUUGAAUGAAAAAGAAGAUUCAUUAAUGGGCCCAGGGCUCCUAGUUAACUGCAUUGCUGUAAGUAAGGGGAGUAUCCCGGUUGCAGAAUGAUGCUUGGAGUAGCAGCGGAAAGAUACCUCCCAGUGUUAAAGAAAGGGAAUGAACAGGAAGAGUAUAGCUGUCACCUUCCAUUUGUUGGAGUACCUAAAGGUUGUAGAGAUGUGGCCCUGAAACACUGCUCUCAAGGUAUCAUGCAUUUCUUCACCUCACUGCCUUAUUCAUGACUUUUAGUUCCUGAGGACAUAUCUAAGUGGGGGAUUUUCCUCUGAUACCUCCUAUUUAUAAAAUAGAGAGUGAGCUUUCAGAUGAUUACGCUUACCCUGCUUGUAGCAGAUUCUGUGAGGUCAGCAACUUAUCUGAUAUGAUGGAGAAGACUGUAGAAAAUGUGGUGUAUAAUCUCUUCAUCUGUCUAUUGAGUUUAGACCCAACCUCUUACACUGGCAAGUGAAAACCACUCAUCCAUUAAUCAUGAUGCUGAUAAAUAUGUUUUUUUUUUUAUGGAUUUGCAGGGUUUAAAUAUUAAGGGCCUGCCCUAAAUUAUUUGUCCUGAUAAGUUUUCUCUGUUCUUGAAGCAUAUACUCAGCAGACAUUAGCAUUUAACCCAAGACUGAUUAUUUGGAGUUUGUCUACAAGCCAGCUAUACAAA